CAUUCAGGUGUGCAGGAGCGGUGGGGAAGCCACACACGAGAUAGCUGCAGGUCUGUUUUCAGCUAUUUUCGCUAUUUUAAUUGUAAUACUUGUUUUAAACUCACCGGUUUAAAUGUUAACUCUUAGGAGCCCCUUAUCGUAGCCAAAUCAGAGACGGACGACGGAGUGAGAGAGUCGAUACAAAUCGUGGAACUGGCCAGGUCCUUGAUUGAUGGCGAGCUUAAUGGAGCCCUGAACCUAAAGCAAAGCAACUGCUGAAGAAUCGAGUCGCACCUCUCCUGCCAGGCUGGUAGGGGGCUCUUUGUGGCCCACAAACUCUCCCCACUCAAAACCUUGAAUUGUCCGCCUUGCCCACAUACAAUCUUUUUUUUUCCACAAACCCCUCCUAUGCGCACUCUUCCUCCUGGACAAUCACAUUCAACCCAGACGUGGGCUACAUGAACUGUGGGUUGGGUUGGUACAUUGGGGUCAAUUUCCCAAGUGUGGGGAAUUUUGUGGACUCAUUUGCGCUUUGCAUUGACAUUCGAAUUGUAUAUCAAUGUUUCUGAGUCAUGUCCUGAAGUUGCAUAGUUAAUGAGUUAUUUUGAAUAUUCAUUAUUGAAUGGCCAUUUAUGAGUUACUGUUUGUUAUUCACUGUAAAUAUUUGCACUGUUGGCUGUCUUGUAUGUUUAAAGAAAUAUUCAAUAUAUGGUACCUGCAAACACAAAGUCAGCUUCCUGUCUACUCUCUCCUUGAGCCGAAUUUAGCCUUCUGAUUACUAGCCUAACGCACCUAACUACUUCUGGUGUUAGUAAACCAGUUCUUUACUACUUACCUACUACACAGGUGUUACGUAAAAGUGGUGAGCUAGCCAGGAGACAGUAUUGACAGAGCUGAAUAUAAAUACAUUUUACAAAUUUUGACAUCGAUGCAAAUAAGAAAAAAAAAGGACAUUUUGGAGAAACACGGCAUAAAAAUUCCAAACGCUGUUUUAAUUAAAUAUGCAAAUAAUGGUGACACUGAU